UACAGAGGUCCCAAGCGUUGUUCGGAUUCACUGGGCGUAAAGGGUGCGUAGGCGGUCGGGUAAGUCUGAUGUGAAAUCUCACAGCUUAACUGUGAAACUGCAUUGGAUACUAUUCGGCUUGAGAGUUGGAGGGGGGACUGGAAUUCUCGGUGUAGCAGUGAAAUGCGUAGAUAUCGAGAGGAACACCAGUGGCGAAGGCGAGUCCCCUGGACAACUUCUGACGUGAGGCACGAAAGCUAGGGGAGCAAACAGG
rnacentral:rRNA from 1 species